CGACGUGUCCCUGCAGGAAGAUCCCUUUUCCUGCCUAUCAAACCUCAUUGGAGACAUGCCCCUGGAAGAAGGCUCCCUUUUGGCCCUUCUGUAUGAGAGUGACGACGUGUCCCUGCAGGAAGAUCCCUUUUCCUGCCUUGCGGACUUCAGUCAAUACUUUUCCCCGGGAGAGUUUAUGUUUUCAUCUAUGUUAGGAGAGAUUGAGUUUCCUGAAUCCUAAGGGAAACCAGACACGGGAAGAGUCGGUGAAACCCUCCACACACCUUCUUCAGGAUAUUUGACAUGUACAGGUAAGCCCAAAAGUAUUCAUACCCAUGCCACCUUUUGAGCCACAGUGAAUUUGUAUUUGACCAACAGGUUUCUUCUGGUAUAUGAAUAAAGUUUCCUUAAAAUAAAUAGUUUAUAUCUCCAGCACAAUCGUCAAAUACAAAUUCACUAUGGCAAGGGG
ensembl:lncRNA